rnacentral:rRNA from 1 species
CACCAAAGCGACGAUCGGUAGCCGGACUGAGAGGUUGAACGGCCACAUUGGGACUGAGACACGGCCCAGACUCCUACGGGAGGCAGCAGUGGGGGAUAUUGCACAAUGGAGGAAACUCUGAUGCAGCAACGCCGCGUGAGGGAAGAAGGUUUUCGGAUUGUAAACCUCUGUCCUUAGGGACGAUAAUGACGGUACCUAAGGAGGAAGCUCCGGCUAACUAC